UACGUAGGGUGCGAGCGUUGUCCGGAAUUACUGGGCGUAAAGAGCUCGUAGGUGGUUUGUCGCGUUGUCCGUGAAAACUCACAACUCAAUUGUGGGCGUGCGGGCGAUACUGGCAGACUGGAGUACUGCAGGGGAGACUGGAAUUCCUGGUGUAGCGGUGGAAUGCGCAGAUAUCAGGAGGAACACCGGUGGCGAAGGCGGGUCUCUGGACAGUAACUGACGCUGAGGAGCGAAAGCGUGGGGAGCGAACAGG
rnacentral:rRNA from 1 species